rnacentral:rRNA from 1 species
ACGGCUCAGUAACACGUGGAUAACCUGCCCUAUGGUGGAGAAUAACCCCGGGAAACUGGGGAUAAUACUCCAUAGAUUAGAGAUACUGGAAUGUUCUUUAAUCGAAAGUUGAGGCGCCAUAGGAUGGAUCUGCGGUCGAUUAGGUUGUUGUUGGGGUAACGGCCCAACAAGCCUGUAAUCGAUACGGGUUGUGGGAGCAAGAGCCCGGAGAUGGAAUCUGAGACACGAUUCCAGGCCCUACGGGGCGCAGCAGGCGCGAAAACUUUACAAUGCAGGAAACUGUGAUAAGGGAACCCCGAGUGCCCGUAUACGCGGGCUGUCCAGGUGUCUAAAAAGCAUCUGAAGAAAGGGCCGGGCAAGACCGGUGCCAGCCGCCGCGGUAAUACCGGCGGCUCGAGUGGUGGCCACUAUUAUUGGGCUUAAAGCGUCCGUAGCUGGACUCUUAAGUCUCUUGGGAAAUCCGCCGGCUUAACCGACGGGCGUCUAAGAGAUACUGAGAGUCUAGGGACCGGGAGAGGUGAGAGGUACUCCGGGGGUAGGAGUGAAAUCCUGUAAUCCCUGGGGGACCACCGAUGGCGAAGGCAUCUCACCAGAACGGCUCCGACAGUGAGGGACGAAAGCUGGGGGAGCGAACCGGAUUAGAUACCCGGGUAGUCCCAGCCGUAAACUAUGCGCGUUAGGUGUACUGGUGACCACGAGUCACUGGGGUGCCGAAGGGAAACCGUGAAACGUGCCGCCUGGGAAGUACGGUCGCAAGGCUGAAGCUUAAAGGAAUUGGCGGGGGAGCAC